AAAAAAGAAAAGAUUAUACUUUCCAUAUUUUAAUUUUCGAAAACUUAAAAAAAAAAAAAGGAAGUUUAACAUUCAAUUGCAUACCUAUUUAGGUAUCUUCCUCCUUUUUCUUUGAUCCCUUGCAGAUCACUUUUCUUUCUUCCUCUUUUGUCGCAGGCGACAUGGGAGAUCUAAAUGGAGCACCAACACAAGCCGAGAUCAAUGCUCAACUGAUGGCUAACCAUGCUGAAC
rnacentral:lncRNA from 1 species